rnacentral:rRNA from 1 species
AUGGAUGUCCUGGUCCAGAAGAUCACCGGGUUCCAUGCUGCCAUCGCCAAGCUGUCAUGGCUCAACCCAUCACCAGACGUCGACGCGCUCUUUAUAGAGUUGGUCACCGCAUGCGUUCCCCCAAGCUCCACGGAUGUCACCAAGCUUAGAUCGAAGACGUAGGGGAAGCGAGAGGGCCUUACCCGCCUCUGCUAUGAGGCCAAGGAAAAGCUGGAGGAGUAUUGCCCUGACAUGCUCGCCGCCUUCGAGAACCCGAUGGGCCACCAUGGAUUGUUACCCUGGUACAACAACUACAUCAACCUCAAGAAGCUCGAGUAUAAGCUUUUGGUGCUCCACGUUCCUUGUGGCAUCGCCCUUUCCCGCUUAGGCUUCAUCGGCUAUGGUUCGUUUGUGUUUAGCUCCUUUCUCCUCGUCACACGCUACCUGCCUUACACCAUGUUUGAAAUGGACGACCUUUUUGACGUGCCCGAUGACCGUGGCGAUAAGUUGUUCUGCAUGGACUUGGAUGUGAGCAUGCACAUGUCCUUUCACAUGGCCGACAUAGAACUUGCCCGCGAGCUCGCCGCGUAUGAUGUUGUACUCCUGGACACACUCGUUGACAUGGACGUCGAGGACAUGGUGAAGGUGGUCGUGCUCCUCAGGGCGCACAUGGCAGACAGGGUAACCCUUGUCGUGCAUGGUGCUCAUGGAGCGCGCUGGUUCCUAUACCCAAUUUUGGACACCGUGGACAUUGGCUGAGGCGAGUUUGAGGUACUGGCCGUGCGCCAUCCCAACGACGAUGUCGUGAACUCUAUCAUUAUCACAUAGAAAUCCAAGGACAUGCAAGCCAAUGGACUUUGCAGCAAGUGUGGUAGGAUGGACAGUACAAGCGUGACGGUGUCAGUGGUCAGCCCUCCGUGCAGGUUCGGUGAGAUGGUAGCUGACAUAACCCAGAAGAUUGAGGAGUUUGCCAACGUUGAAGUGGCCUAUUGA